rnacentral:tRNA from 2 species
UGUAGAGAGGACGAGUGGCAAGUCGUCGGGCUCAUGACCCGAAGAAGCGGGUUCGACUCCCGCCUCUGCAG